rnacentral:rRNA from 1 species
CCCGAAAGAUGGUGAACUAUACUUGAGCAGCCUGAAGCCUGAGGAAACUCAGGUGGAAGGGCGCAGCGGUACUGACGUGCAAAUCGUUCGUCAGACUUGAGUAUAGGGGCGAAAAGACUAAUCGAACCAUCUAGUAGCUGGUUCCCUCUGAAAUUUCUCUCAGGAUAGCUGGAACAAUUUCAAGCAGUUUUAUCAGGUAAAGCGAAUGAUUAGAGGACUCGGAGCUCAAAGAGCUUUGACCUAUUCUCAAACUUUAAAUUGGUAAGAUCUAUUAGUUCUCUUAAUUGAACUGGUAGGCAGAAUGCAUUGUUCCAAGUGGGCUUAUCGUGGUAAGCAUGUUAAGCAAUGAGGGAUGAACCUAACGCUGAGAUAAGGCGCCAAAAUUCCCGCUCAUCAGAUACCAUAAAAGGUGUUGAUUCAUAUAGACAGCAGGACGGUGGCCAUGGAAGUCGGAAUCCGCUAAGGAGUGUGUAACAACUCACCUGCCGAAUGAAUUA